rnacentral:rRNA from 1 species
GUCGAGCGAACGGACGAGAAGCUUGCUUCUCUGAUGUUAGCGGCGGACGGGUGAGUAACACGUGGAUAACCUACCUAUAAGACUGGGAUAACUUCGGGAAACCGGAGCUAAUACCGGAUAAUAUUUUGAACCGCAUGGUUCAAAAGUGAAAGACGGUCUUGCUGUCACUUAUAGAUGGAUCCGCGCUGCAUUAGCUAGUUGGUAAGGUAACGGCUUACCAAGGCAACGAUGCAUAGCCGACCUGAGAGGGUGAUCGGCCACACUGGAACUGAGACACGGUCCAGACUCCUACGGGAGGCAGCAGUAGGGAAUCUUCCGCAAUGGGCGAAAGCCUGACGGAGCAACGCCGCGUGAGUGAUGAAGGUCUUCGGAUCGUAAAACUCUGUUAUUAGGGAAGAACAUAUGUGUAAGUAACUGUGCACAUCUUGACGGUACCUAAUCAGAAAGCCACGGCUAACUACGUGCCAGCAGCCGCGGUAAUACGUAGGUGGCAAGCGUUAUCCGGAAUUAUUGGGCGUAAAGCGCGCGUAGGCGGUUUUUUAAGUCUGAUGUGAAAGCCCACGGCUCAACCGUGGAGGGUCAUUGGAAACUGGAAAACUUGAGUGCAGAAGAGGAAAGUGGAAUUCCAUGUGUAGCGGUGAAAUGCGCAGAGAUAUGGAGGAACACCGGUGGCGAAGGCGACUUUCUGG